rnacentral:lncRNA from 1 species
AUUGUGUGUAGUUUUCUCGGGCGUGGAUUUUUCUAGUAAGCGAAAAACUGGCCGAAAACUAUUAGACGACUUAUCCCAACUCGUCGUUCCUACGCGAUUUACCGGCGAUUGGGGUCCACUCCUCACCAAAUACAAAAUCCAUCUUUGAAAUUGUAACCUUCGCCGGCUGCUUGGGCAGACCCAAACAACGUUUGAUUCUAUACAUACCCGCACAAUAUAUCUAUAUAUAAAUAUAUCUCUAAUCUCUGUAUCUAUAUUCUAUAUAUAUCUGUGUGCAUAUGUAACUUUUAUCCUAUCAGUCUAUAUAUAGAGAUUAGAGUAUAUUUAAUUAUUAGAUUCAAUUUCAUACAGAAUUGCCAGCCUCGCUCUGAUUGGUUCUAUUAUUGCUGGAUCUCAUAUACACAUGCUAUACUUGUAUAUACAGAUCCAUUUGAUUUAAGAUUCAGCUUCUUCAUCUCUUUUCCAGCUCUCCCAGUGAUUUAUCUUUUAGGUA